UACAGAGGUCCCGAGCGUUGUUCGAAUUCACUGGGCGUAAAGGGUGCGUAGGUGGCUUGGAAAGUUUGAUGUGAAAGCUCAGGGCUUAACCCUGAAAUGGCAUUGAAUACUGCCGGGCUGGAGGUUUGGAGGGGGGACUGGAAUUCUUGGUGUAGCAGUGAAAUGCGUAGAUAUCAAGAGGAACACCAGUGGCGAAGGCGGCCCCCUGGUCGGAUACUGACGCUGAGACGCGAAAGCGUGGGGAGCAAACAGG
rnacentral:rRNA from 1 species